CCUACGGGCGGCAGCAGUGAGGAAUAUUGGUCAAUGGCCGGAAGGCUGAACCAGCCAAGCCGCGUGAAGGACGAAGGUGCCAAGCAUUGUAAACUUCUUUUGUCAAGGGACAAAAUCAGGCUCGAGAGCCUGACCGCGGGUACUUGAAGAAAAAGCAUCGGCUAACUCCGUGCCAGCAGCCGCGGUAAUACGGAGGAUGCGAGCGUUAUCCGGAUUUAUUGGGUUUAAGGGGUGCGUAGGCGGACUUUUAAGUCAGCGGUAAAAGCCCGGGGCCAAACCCAAGCGAGCCGUUGAAACUGGGAGUCUUGAGAGGUCGAGAGGUAGGCGGAAUGCGCAGUGUAGCGGUGAAAUGCUUAGAUAUUGCGCAGAACUCCGAUUGCGAAGGCAGCAUACCGGCGGCGAUCUGACGCUGAGGCACGAAAGCGUGGGUAUCGAACAGGAUUAGAUACCCGAGUAGUC
rnacentral:rRNA from 1 species